rnacentral:rRNA from 1 species
GAUGAACGCUAGCGGCAGGCUUAAUACAUGCAAGUCGUGGGGCAGCAGGUUUGUAGCAAUACAGAUGCUGGCGACCGGCAAACGGGUGCGUAACACGUACGCAACCUUCCCGUUACUGGGGAAUAGCCCAGGGAAACUUGGAUUAAUACCCCAUAUUAUAUUGGUCAGGCAUCUGACUGAUAUCAAAGCUUCGGCGGCAACGGAUGGGCGUGCGGUUGAUUAGGUAGUUGGCGGGGUAACGGCCCACCAAGCCUACGAUCAAUAGCGGAUGUGAGAGCAUGAUCAGCCACACGGGCACUGAGACACGGGCCCGACUCCUACGGGAGGCAGCAGUAAGGAAUAUUGGGCAAUGGACGCAAGUCUGACCCAGCCAUGCCGCGUGAAGGAUGAAGGUCCUCUGGAUUGUAAACUUCUUUUAUCUGGGGCGAAAACCGGUUAUUCUUAACCGUUUGACAGUACCAGAGGAAUAAGCACCGGCUAACUCCGUGCCAGCCGCCGCCGUAACAC